rnacentral:lncRNA from 1 species
CGAGUAGCGGUGGCUGAAGAACGAGCAGGAGCUUGAAUUUCAGUUUUCUUAUGAGGAAUUUUCCAGAAAAGAUAUCUUCACUGUGAAAUAACUAAAUAAAUGCCCACUCAGUACAACAAAAAUACCUGCUACAUGCUUCCUUCUGUAUGAAUACAUGAGACCUACCUUCAUUCAUGUUUCCUCUAUGAAGCUUUCCCUGCACUCCAAACACAGAGCUGAGACUUCCACCUAAUGUAGAAAGCUAGCACGAGCCGGCGCUGACAGAUGGAAGACUUGAGAUGUUACAAGAUUAUAUAUGGAAACACAAAAGGAGUGGAGUUGCUGGGUCAUAUGGCAAUUCAUUUGAGGAACUGAGAAGCUUAUUCCAUGGAGGCUGAACUGUUUUAUAUUCCCACCAGCAACGUGUAAGGUUCCAGUUUAUCUACAUCAUCACCAACACUUGCUAUUUUCCAUUUCAUUAAUGAUAGCCAUCCUAGUGGAUUUGAAGUGGUACCUUAUUAUCGUGGUUUUGAUUGCAUUCUCUAUUGACUAAUGAUAUCGAGCAUCUUUUCAUGUAUUUUUUGGUCAUUUGGUCAUUUUUCUUUUUUAAUUUUAAAAUUUUGAGACAGGCUCUCACUAUGUUGCCCAGGUGGUCUCAAACUCCUGGGUUCCAGCGAUGCUCAUGCCUCAGUCUCCCAAAGGGGUGGGAUUACAGGUGUGAGCCACUUUGCCCAGCCCAUUUGUAUAUCUCCUUUGGAGAAUAUCUAGGUUCUUUUGAAGGUAGCUGCAUAUAAACUAGCCAAAUUAACAGACUGUGGUUUUUAGAUGGCUUUCCAUAUCUACAAGAACUAUUUAGUUCUCAAAACUGGGAAGAAAUGUUUCAGAGGCAUCAUUAAUUCAUAAUCUAAAAAUUUAUCUUGGGUUUCCUUUUUUCCCCCA